rnacentral:sRNA from 1 species
GGAGUGGGCUGGGUGGAUGGUUUGGGGAUGUUUGGGGGAGGUGAGUAAAGGGGUAGAGGGAGAACGCUCUUUGGGAUUGUGUUGGAAAGAGAAGAACCAAAGUGGACUGUACUUGCAUUUCAGUGAAUGAUUUGAGUUGUGCGACUAAAGGCUUUUUGGAAGAGGGUUGUCCAGUUAGGAAAGGUGGAUGGGAGUUGGGGAGGGGGUUUUCUGUUCUCCCUUUGAGCUGAUUUCCUUCCUCUCCCACGUCCUCAAUUAACUCCUGCAGGUCUCGAAGUGCUGCAGCUAAAACUCAUACAACUGCCUUGACUGGGCGAAGUCCUUCCCCUGCUUCAGGGCGACGCGGGGAGGGAGAUGCGCCUUUCAGUGAACCAGGUACUACCAGCACACAACGGCCUAGUAGCCCGGAGCCUGCUACGAAACAGCCUAGCAGCCCUUAUGAAGACAAAGAUAAAGACAAGAAGGAGAAAUCUGCAACUCGACCUAGCCCCUCUCCGGAAAGGAGCAGCACAGGCCCAGAACCACCUGCUCCCACUCCGCUCCUUGCUGAGCGACAUGGCGGCUCCCCACAACCCCUUGCAACCACCCCCUUAAGCCAGGAGCCAGUGAACCCCCCAUCUGAGGCCUCUCCAACUCGGGACCGUUCACCACCUAAGUCUCCCGAGAAACUUCCCCAGUCUUCUUCCUCAGAGAGCAGCCCACCAUCCCCUCAACCUACCAAAGUUUCUCGGCAUGCCAGCUCUUCCCCAGAAAGUCCUAAACCUGCUCCAGCUCCAGGGUCCCACCGAGAGAUUUCUUCUUCUCCCACAUCUAAGAAUCGCUCACAUGGCCGAGCAAAACGGGAUAAAUCACAUUCUCAUACCCCCUCCCGUAGGAUGGGGAGGUCCCGUAGCCCUGCCACCGCUAAGAGAGGGCGAUCUCGGUCUCGAACCCCUACCAAGAGAGGUCAUUCUCGAUCCCGAUCUCCCCAGUGGCGUAGGUCCAGGUCUGCACAGAGGUGGGGAAGAUCUAGAAGCCCCCAGCGACGUGGCCGCUCUAGGUCUCCUCAGCGACCAGGCUGGUCUAGGAGCAGAAAUACCCAGAGAAGAGGCAGGUCUAGGUCAGCAAGGCGAGGGAGG